rnacentral:rRNA from 1 species
UUAAGUGACUAAGCGUACAAGGUGGAUGCCUUGGCAAUCAGAGGCGAUGAAGGACGUGCUAAUCUGCGAAAAGCUUGGAUGAGUCGAUAAGAGGCGUUUAAUCCAAGAUGUCCGAAUGGGGAAACCCAGUAGAUGAAGAAUCUACUAUCACUUACUGAAUACAUAGGUAAGUGAGGCAAACCGGGAGAACUGAAACAUCUAAGUACCCCGAGGAAAAGAAAUCAACCGAGAUUUCGUUAGUAGCGGCGAGCGAACGCGAAGGAGCCUGUUAGUGAUAAUGACAGAGACAGAGGAACAAGCUGGGAAGCUUGGCGAUACAGGGUGAUAGCCCCGUACUCGAAGUCCAGGUCAUGGUACUAAGCUAACGAUAAGUAGGGCGGGACACGUGAUAUCCUGUUUGAAGAUGGGGGGACCAUCCUCCAAGGCUAAAUACUCCUGAUUGACCGAUAGUGAACCAGUACUGUGAAGGAAAGGCGAAAAGAACCCCGGUGAGGGGAGUGAAAUAGAACCUGAAACCUUGUACGUACAAGCAGUGGGAGCCCUUUAAGGGUGACUGCGUACCUUUUGUAUAAUGGGUCAGCGACUUAUAUUUUGUAGCGAGGUUAACCGAAUAGGGGAGCCGAAGGGAAACCGAGUCUUAACUGGGCGUCUAGUUGCAAGGUAUAGACCCGAAACCCGGUGAUCUAGCCAUGGGCAGGUUGAAGGUUGGGUAACACUAACUGGAGGACCGAACCGACUAAUGUUGAAAAAUUAGCGGAUGACUUGUGGCUGGGGGUGAAAGGCCAAUCAAACCGGGAGAUAGCUGGUUCUCCCCGAAAUCUAUUUAGGUAGAGCCUUGAGCGGACACCUUCGGGGGUAGAGCACUGUUUCGGCUAGGGGUCCAUCCCGGAUUACCAACCCGAUGCAAACUACGAAUACCGAAGAGUGAUACUCAGGAGACACACGGCGGGUGCUAACGUCCGUCGUGAAGAGGGAAACAACCCAGACCGCCAGCUAAGGUCCCAAAGUCUAUAUUAAGUGGGAAACGAAGUGGGAAGGCUUAGACAGCUAGGAUGUUGGCUUAGAAGCAGCCAUCAUUUAAAGAAAGCGUAAUAGCUCACUAGUCGAGUCGGCCUGCGCGGAAGAUGUAACGGGGCUCAAAUAUAGCACCGAAGCUGCGGCAUCAGACGAAAGUCUGUUGGGUAGGGGAGCGUUCUGUAAGCGGAUGAAGGUGAAUCGAGAGGUUUGCUGGACGUAUCAGAAGUGCGAAUGCUGACAUAAGUAACGAUAAAACGGGUGAAAAACCCGUUCGCCGGAAGACCAAGGGUUCCUGUCCAACGUUAAUCGGGGCAGGGUGAGUCGGCCCCUAAGGCGAGGCUGAAAAGCGUAGUCGAUGGGAAACGGGUUAAUAUUCCCGUACUUGGAUAAACUGCGAUGUGGGGACGGAGCAGGUUAGGUUAUCGCACUGUUGGAUAUGUGCGUUUAAGUUGGUAGGUGUGAAGUUUAGGCAAAUCCGGACUUCUUUAACACUGAGAGAUGAUGACGAGGCUCUACGGAGCUGAAGUAACCGAUACCACACUUCCAGGAAAAGCCACUAAGCUUCAGGUUUAUCUAAACCGUACUGAAAACCGACACAGGUGGUCAGGUAGAGAAUACUCAGGCGCUUGAGAGAACUCGGGUGAAGGAACUAGGCAAAAUAGCACCGUAACUUCGGGAGAAGGUGCGCCGGCGUAGAUUGUAGUCCCUAGCGGGCGAAGGUUGAACCGGUCGAAGAUACCAGCUGGCUGCAACUGUUUAUUAAAAACACAGCACUCUGCAAACACGAAAGUGGACGUAUAGGGUGUGAUGCCUGCCCGGUGCUGGAAGGUUAAUUGAUGGUGUAAUCGAAAGAGAAGCUCCUGAUCGAAGCCCCAGUAAACGGCGGCCGUAACUAUAACGGUCCUAAGGUAGCGAAAUUCCUUGUCGGGUAAGUUCCGAC